rnacentral:rRNA from 1 species
UACGAGAGCCUCAAGCGUUAUCCGGAAUCAUUGGGCGUAAAGGGUGCGUAGGUGGUUUGAUUAGUCUUCCGUUAAAGACUCGGGCUUAACCCGAGAAGAGCGGAGGAUACGGUCAAGCUAGAGUAUGUGAGGGGUGUGUGGAACUCAUGGUGUAGGGGUGAAAUCCGUUGAUAUCAUGGGGAACACCAAAAGCGAAGGCAGCACACUGGCACAUUACUGACACUGAGGCACGAAACCCUGGGUAGCGAAU